rnacentral:rRNA from 1 species
GGAUGAACGCUGGCGGCGUGCCUAAUACAUGCAAGUCGAGCGAACAGACGAGGAGCUUGCUCCUCUGACGUUAGCGGCGGACGGGUGAGUAACACGUGGAUAACCUACCUAUAAGACUGGGAUAACUUCGGGAAACCGGAGCUAAUACCGGAUAAUAUAUUGAACCGCAUGGUUCAAUAGUGAAAGACGGUUUUGCUGUCACUUAUAGAUGGAUCCGCGCCGCAUUAGCUAGUUGGUAAGGUAACGGCUUACCAAGGCAACGAUGCGUAGCCGACCUGAGAGGGUGAUCGGCCACACUGGAACUGAGACACGGUCCAGACUCCUACGGGAGGCAGCAGUAGGGAAUCUUCCGCAAUGGGCGAAAGCCUGACGGAGCAACGCCGCGUGAGUGAUGAAGGUCUUCGGAUCGUAAAACUCUGUUAUUAGGGAAGAACAAAUGUGUAAGUAACUAUGCACGUCUUGACGGUACCUAAUCAGAAAGCCACGGCUAACUACGU